rnacentral:rRNA from 1 species
AGCGCAGGCGGGAAGACAAGUUGGAAGUGAAAUCCAUGGGCUCAACCCAUGAACUGCUUUCAAAACUGUUUUUCUUGAGUAGUGCAGAGGUAGGCGGAAUUCCCGGUGUAGCGGUGGAAUGCGUAGAUAUCGGGAGGAACACCAGUGGCGAAGGCGGCCUACUGGGCACCAACUGACGCUGAGGCUCGAAAGUGUGGGUAGCAACA